CAUACUGCCGUGAAUACGUUCCCGGGCCUUGUACACACCGCCCGUCACACCAUGAGAGUUGGAAAUACCCGAAGCCUGUGAGCUAACUUAAAGAGGCAGCAGUCGAAGGUAGAGCCAAUGAUUGGGGUGAAGUCGUAACAAGGUAGC
rnacentral:rRNA from 1 species